rnacentral:rRNA from 1 species
CCUACGGGAGGCAGCAGUGAGGAAUAUUGGUCAAUGGACGAGAGUCUGAACCAGCCAAGUAGCGUGAAGGAUGACUGCCCUAUGGGUUGUAAACUUCUUUUAUAAAGGAAUAAAACGAGGCACGCGUGCCUUUUUGCAUGUACUUUAUGAAUAAGGAUCGGCUAACUCCGUGCCAGCAGCCGCGGUAAUACGGAGGAUCCGAGCGUUAUCCGGAUUUAUUGGGUUUAAAGGGAGCGUAGAUGGGUUGUUAAGUCAGUUGUGAAAGUUUGCGGCUCAACCGUAAAAUUGCAAUUGAUACUGGCAGUCUUGAGUACAGUUGAGGUAGGCGGAAUUCGUGGUGUAGCGGUGAAAUGCUUAGAUAUCACGAAGAACCCCGAUUGCGAAGGCAGCUUACCAAGCUGUGACUGACAUUGAUGCUCGAAAGUGUGGGUAUCAAACAGGAUUAGAUACCCCGGUAGUC